CUUGGUCAUUUAGAGGAAGUAAAAGUCGUAACAAGGUUUCCGUAGGUGAACCUGCGGAAGGAUCAUUAACGAAUAUAAUUCGAGGGGUUGUCGCUGGCCUCGCUCGCGCGAGGCAUGUGCACGCUUCGCGUUUUUCUGAUAACCAACCUGUGAACCUAAUGUAGGAUGCCUCUCCUCCGGGAGGGGGGACCUACGUCUUCUCAACAUCUUCGUGUAGAAAGUCUUUGAAUGUUUACUAUCAUCGAGUCGCGACUUCUAGGAGACGCGAUUCUUUGAGAUAAAAGUUAUUACAACUUUCAGCAACGGAUCUCUUGGCUCUCGCAUCGAUGAAGAACGCAGCGAAAAGCGAUAUGUAAUGUGAAUUGCAGAUCUACAGUGAAUCAUCGAAUCUUUGAACGCACCUUGCGCUCCUCGGUGUUCCGAGGAGCAUGCCUGUUUGAGUGUCAGUAAAUUCUCAACCCCUCUCGAUCUUCUUCGAAGAGGGCGCUUGGAUAGUGGAGGUUGCCGGAGACUCGGAUUCGUUCCGAGACUCGGGCUCUUCUGAAAUGCAUCGGCUUGCGGUCGACUUUCGACUAUGCGCGACAAGGCUUUCGGCGUGAUAAUGAUCGCCGUUC
rnacentral:rRNA from 1 species